GCAGCAGCCACGGUAAUACGUAGGUGGCAAGCGUUGUCCGGAAUUAUUGGGCGUAAAGGGCUCGCAGGCGGUUUCUUAAGUCUGAUGUGAAAGCCCCCGGCUCAACCGGGGAGGGUCGUUGGAAACUGGGAAACUUGAGUGCAGAAGAGGAGAGUGGAAUUCCACGUGUAGCGGUGAAAUGCGUAGAGAUGUGGAGGAACACCAGUGGCGAAGGCGACUCUCUGGUCUGUAACUGACGCUGAGGAGCGAAAGCGUGGGGAGCGAACAGGAUUAGAUACCCCCGUAGUCCCUGUCUCUUAUAC
rnacentral:rRNA from 1 species